UGUGCCUACGGGGCGCAGCAGUGGGGAAUAUUGGGCAAUGGGCGCAAGCCUGACCCAGCAACGCCGCGUGAAGGAAGAAGGCUUUCGGGUUGUAAACUUCCUUUAUCAGGGACGAAGCAAGUGACGGUACCUGAUGAAUAAGCCACGGCUAACUACGUGCCAGCAGCCGCGGUAAUACGUAGGUGGCAAGCGUUAUCCGGAUUUACUGGGUGUAAAGGGCGUGUAGGCGGGAGUGCAAGUCAGAUGUGAAAACUAUGG
rnacentral:rRNA from 1 species